UACGAGGGGGGCGAGCGUUGUUCGGAAUUAUUGGGCGUAAAGGGUGCGUAGGCGGUUUGGUAAGUCUGGUGUGAAAUCUAUGGGCUCAACUCAUAGUCUGCAUCGGAAACUGCCGGGCUUGAGUGUGGGAGAGGUGAGUGGAAUUCCUGGUGUAGCGGUGAAAUGCGUAGAUAUCAGGAGGAACACCUGUGGCGAAAGCGGCUCACUGGACCACAACUGACGCUGAUGCACGAAAGCUAGGGGAGCAAACAGG
rnacentral:rRNA from 1 species